CCACUCUGGUUUCCCUUCAAAACGUAUAAAUCUUUCGCCUUUUACUAAAGAUUUCCGUGGAGGGGAACACUCAAAUGAGUCUUUAAUAUUUUUGCCGCCCUACGUACGUAGGGU
rfam:Papilio xuthus contig17372, whole genome shotgun sequence.